rnacentral:rRNA from 1 species
GACGAACGCUGGCGGCGUGCUUAACACAUGCAAGUCGAGCGAUGAAGUCUCUUCGGAGACGGAUUAGCGGCGGACGGGUGAGUAACACGUGGGUAACCUGCCUCAUAGAGGGGAAUAGCCUUCCGAAAGGAAGAUUAAUACCGCAUAAGAUUGUAGUUUCGCAUGAAACAGCAAUUAAAGGAGUAAUCCGCUAUGAGAUGGACCCGCGUCGCAUUAGCUAGUUGGUGAGGUAACGGCUCACCAAGGCGACGAUGCGUAGCCGACCUGAGAGGGUGAUCGGCCACAUUGGGACUGAGACACGGCCCAGACUCCUACGGGAGGCAGCAGUGGGGAAUAUUGCACAAUGGGGGAAACCCUGAUGCAGCAACGCCGCGUGAGUGAUGACGGUCUUCGGAUUGUAAAGCUCUGUCUUUAGGGACGAUAAUGACGGUACCUAAGGAGGAAGCCACGGCUAACUACGUGCCAGCCGCCGCGGUAAUAC